GACGUAGGAUGCGAGCGUUAAUCGGAGUUACUGGGUGUAAAGGGUGCGCAGGCGGAACUUCAAGCCAGGCGUGAAAGCCACGGGCUCAACCCGGGAAUGGCGCUUGGCACUAGAGUUCUGGAGUGCGGCAGAGGGAGGUGGAAUUCCGCAUGUAGCAGUGAAAUGCGUAGAGAUGUGGAGGAACACCGAUGGCGAAGGCAGCCUCCUGGGACGACACUGACGCUCAUGCACGAAAGCGUGGGGAGCAAACAGG
rnacentral:rRNA from 1 species